GACGAACGCUGGCGGCGUGCUUAACACAUGCAAGUCGAGCGGUAAGGCCCUUUCGGGGGUACACGAGCGGCGAACGGGUGAGUAACACGUGGGUGACCUGCCCUCAGCUCUGGGAGUAAGACCCGUGGGAAACCGGGUCUAAUACCGGAUAUGACUCCAUGACGCAUGGUUGUGGGGUGGAAAGCCUUGUGCGGGCUGAGGAUGGGCCCGCGGCCUAUCAGCUUGUUGGUGGGGUGAUGGCCUACCAAGGCGACGACGGGUAGCCGGCCUGAGAGGGCGACCGGCCACACUGGGACUGAGACCACGG
rnacentral:rRNA from 1 species